rnacentral:tRNA from 1 species
AUUGAUAUAGCAAAGCCCGGCAUUGCAAAAGAUCUAAAAUCUUUCACACGGAGGUUCAAAUCCCCCUCUCAACA